rnacentral:rRNA from 1 species
UGGCGGACGGGUGAGUAACGCGUGGGUAACCUGCCCCAUACAGGGGGAUAACAGUUAGAAAUGACUGCUAAUACCGCAUAAGACCACGGCACCGCAUGGUGCAGGGGUAAAAACUCCGGUGGUAUGAGAUGGACCCGCGUCUGAUUAGGUAGUUGGUGGGGUAACGGCCUACCAAGCCGACGAUCAGUAGCCGACCUGAGAGGGUGACCGGCCACAUUGGGACUGAGACACGGCCCAA